UACGAAGGGGGCUAGCGUUGCUCGGAAUCACUGGGCGUAAAGCGCACGUAGGCGGACUGCCAAGUCAGGGGUGAAAUCCCGGGGCUCAACCUCGGAACUGCCUCUGAUACUGUCAGUCUAGAGUCCGGAAGAGGUGGGUGGAAUUCCUAGUGUAGAGGUGAAAUUCGCAGAUAUUAGGAAGAACACCGGUGGCGAAGGCGGCCCACUGGUCCGGAACUGACGCUGAGGUGAGAAAGCGUGGGGAGCAAACAGG
rnacentral:rRNA from 1 species